AUACGGAUGGUGCGAGCGUUGUUCGGAAUUACGGGGCGUAAAGGGCGCGUAGGCGGCGAUGUAAGUCAAAUGUGAAAGUCCUCGGCUUAACCGGGGAAGUGCAUCUGAAACUGCAUUGCUUGAGUAUGGGAGAGGAAAGUGGAAUUCCCGGUGUAGAGGUGAAAUUCGUAGAGAUCGGGAGGAAUACCGGUGGCGAAGGCGACUUUCUGGACCAAUACUGACGCUGAGGCGCGAAAGCGUGGGGAGCAAACAGGAUUAGAUACCCUUGUAGUCC
rnacentral:rRNA from 1 species